UACAGGGGGUGCAAACGUUGCUCGGAAUCGAUUGGCGUAAAGCGCACGUAGGCGGUUCGUUAUGUCGGAUGUGAAAACCCUUGGCUUAACCGAGGAAGUGCAUCCGAAACUGGCGAGCUAGAGUACUAAAGAGGAUCGCGGAAUUCCCGGUGUAGAGGUGAAAUUCGUAGAUAUCGGGAGGAACACCGGUGGCGAAGGCGGCGAUCUGGGUAGAUACUGACGCUGAGGUGCGAAAGCGUGGGGAGCAAACAGG
rnacentral:rRNA from 1 species